GACAGAGGGGGCAAGCGUUGCUCGGAAUCACUGGGCGUAAAGGGCGCGUAGGCGGGAUGGCAAGUCGGUCGUGAAAUCCUUCGGCCCAACCGAAGAACGUCGGCCGAUACUGCCGUUCUUGAGGGAUGCAGAGGAGACUGGAAUUCCCGGUGUAGCGGUGAAAUGUGUAGAGAUCGGGAGGAACACCGGUGGCGAAGGCGGGUCUCUGGGCAUUUCCUGACGCUGAGGCGCGAAAGCGUGGGGAGCAAACGGG
rnacentral:rRNA from 1 species